CCAACAGGGAUUGCCUCAGUAACGGCGAGUGAAGCGGCAACAGCUCAAAUUUGAAAGCUGGCUCUUGCAGAGCCCGCAUUGUAAUUUGUAGAGGAUGCUUCAGGUGCGGCGCUGGUCUAAGUUCUUUGGAACAAGACGUCAUAGAGGGUGAGAAUCCCGUAUGUGACUGGCUGCCUGUGCCUGUGUGAAGCUCCUUCAACGAGUCGAGUUGUUUGGGAAUGCAGCUCAAAAUGGGUGGUGUACUUCAUCUAAAGCUAAAUAUUGGCCAGAGACCGAUAGCGCACAAGUAGAGUGAUCGAAAGAUGAAAAGCACUUUGGAAAGAGAGUUAAACAGUACGUGAAAUUGUUGAAAGGGAAGCGCUUGCAAUCAGACUUGCGCGGCGUCGAUCAACCUGGGUUCUCCCUGGUGCACUCGGCGCUGCUCAGGCCAGCAUCAGUUUCGGCGGUUGGAUAAAGGCCUAGGGAACGUGGGUUACUUCGGUGACUGUUAUAGCCCUAGGUGCAAUGCAGCCUGCUGGGACUGAGGACCGCGCUUCGGCUAGGAUGCUGGCGUAAUGGUUGUAAGCGACCCGUCUUGAAACACGGACCAAGGAGUCUAACAUCUAUGCGAGUUUUUGGGUGUCAAACCCAUAAGCGUAAUGAAAGUGAACGGAGGUGAGAACCCUUUAGGGUGCAUCAUCGACCGAUCCUGAUGUCUUCGGAUGGAUUUGAGUAAGAGCAUAGCUGUUGGGACCCGAAAGAUGAUGAUCUAUACCUGAAUAGGGUGAAGCCAGAGGAAACUCUGGUGGAGGCUCGCAGCGGUUCUGACGUGCAAAUCGAUCGUCAAAUUUGGGUAUAGGGGCGAAAGACUAAUCGAA
rnacentral:rRNA from 2 species